rnacentral:rRNA from 1 species
AUGCCCAGCCCACUACCCCCACCUUCUCCUUCCCCCGACUACCUCCCACCCGUGGCGGCGCCUCCACCCCCACUACCCUGCGCCCACCACCACCAACCACCCCGACGCCCAACCACCACCCACCCCCCUGGCGCACCACCAGAACCACCCCACCACCCCCGGCGCACCAACGCGCAGCCAAGUCCACCCGGCCGGCCGCAGUCCCUCAACCACCAGCCGGGCCGAGGUGGAAAAGCAGGACGGCGAGCCCCGCCNNNNNNNNNNNNNNNNNNNNNNNNNNNNNNNNNNNNNNNNNNNNNNNNNNNNCUCCUCCCGCGCCGCCGACAGACCUUGCUCCCCGCGCCACCAGGACCUCCACCACCGGAUUCAGGACCCUCGCCACCGGAUCCAGGCCCUCCACCACAAGAUUCGCCAUCCUCCAUCGUCGUUUCCUGCCCCGCUCGCCCCACCUGUGGGUGUGAGGCGUCGUCGGCGGGUUGUGCAGUUCCUCCGUCGUCGGCGGGCGGGCGGGCAGCUCCUCCAACCCCCGCCGAUCUGCUACAAACCGGCGACCCCAUCCUGCCAAAGAUCGGCCCGUCGCCGUCGUCCCACGCAUGGCCGGCGUCGGAUCCGCGCGUCGCCGUCCCUGACAACCUCUGGGUCGAGGGCAGUUGGAUCCGCCCUGUCGUUAUCCUCCCGCGGCUACUCGACGACGGAUCCGCGCCAAGACCUCCUAGGGGCGUCCUCUCUGUCCCCAUAUCGAGGGUGACUUGCCUUCACAGAUCCGAUGGUCGGCCGGUGAGCUCGGGGGUCGCCAGCGACUCUCCCCUCCCAGUGCCUCCACCUCCCUCUACCACCAUCGAGCGCAUCCAGAGGGGCGUGGGGGUGUCCUACGGCCUUCCCUUCCCUGCCAUGUCAAGCCCCGACCUCCACUCUUGGCGCGUGGAAUGCAAAAUCCCUCCGGCGAGGUCCACGACGCGUCCAUCCCAGCGGCUCGCGUGCAGUUCGGUUUGGACGGUGGCUCACGUGCAAGGUCUCGGGCGCUACGGCGUGUUCAGUUCGCAGGUCCUGCUACACACACUCGGUACCCCCGACGGUGGCGGUUGGCUGUGA